rnacentral:rRNA from 1 species
AUUGAACGCUGGCGGCAGGCCUAACACAUGCAAGUCGAGCGAGCGGCGGACGGGUGAGUAAUGUAUGGGGACUGCCCGAUAGAGGGGGAUAACUACUGGAAACGGUGGCUAAUACCGCAUACUAUCGGAUAACCCAUAUGGGAUUAGCUAGUAGGUGGGGUAAAGGCUCACCUAGGCGACGAUCUCUAGCUGGUCUGAGAGGAUGAUCAGCGAAACUGGAACUGAGAGACGGAGCAGACUCCUACGGAUGCAGCAGUGGGGAAUAUUGCGCAAUGGGAGCAAGCCUGAUGAAGCGAUGCCGCGUGUAUGAAGAAGGCAUGAGGGUUGUAAAGUACUGUCAGCGGGGAGGCGUUAACCGCAGAAGAAGCACCGGCUAACUCCGUGCCAGCAGCCGCGGUAAUAC